UGAUGCGAUCAUAUCAGCACUAAAGCACCGGAUCCUAUCAGAACUCCGAAGUUAACCAUGCUUGGGCGAGAGUAGUAUUUGGAUGAGUGACCUCCUGGAAAGUCCUCAUGUUGCAUUCA
rnacentral:rRNA from 1 species